UUCUAGAAUGUUUAAAAUGAGGCAUCUGAGAAGGAAAGGGUAUUGAUAGGACUGAAUGAAAAGAAAACACCCGGGAUCCUUAGGAAAAGGACACAGAAUGAACACAACUUGGUUUGUGAAGUAUCAGGACUAAAACGAAAUUCCACGCCCCAUUCUGCUUCAAAGCCCUCUCCAUCCUGCCAGCCUCCACUAAACACAAUGAAACCCUUUCUCACCUCCAGCGUUCAACUCCACUGAAGGAACUCAGGAUUAUUGUUUACCCAUCCGUGAACCUAUACUCGAAAAAACAUUAAAACCAAGACAAUCAUCAAGAACAGGACACUCUUAAACAUAUACAAG